GCGUCCUUUUUAACGGAGACCGGAACAUAACCUGUGAGGAUACUGUGCCAUGGAAAAGAGGAGCCCAUAGCCAGGGAAGCCUGUCAGACUGGCUUGUUUUUGUUCUGGGAUGGAAGGGGAGUUGCCUCAGUAAGAGUUUGGGUUCUUCUCUUAAGAUGCUGGCCUUAUAACAGAAGUCAGAGAGGACAGAAUGAGGAGUUUGGGAGAGCAAGGCUCCCUUCUGGGAGAGAUGACCAAAAGCCAGACACAGAGUGGAGAUUUGGUGCAGUUUUAGACCUGCCACUCAAGAGCUAAGCAGACACCAGUUCUCUAACGGCGGACUCUGAACCAAAUGACUGCACAAAAUUUGGGAGUCACCACGAAGGAGAGAAUUCUCUCUGACGAAGGCUGGAGAAUCUGGCCCUCGUGGCAGUGACAUUUUCUCUGUGAAAUAACGAACCCUCGUUUGUAUGUGUGCGCUUGGUUCCCUUGUGACAUUGCAGUAACAGAGACUUGCUUCUUCUCCCGGAGAACACGGAGAGUGCGCCCUAACACACACACUGAAAGCGAGUCCCCGCCGCAGCUCUCCUCGAAACUCCGCCACCUAAAGGGAUUUGGGAGAAUGAAGUCAACACACAAAGGGAAACGGAAAUCGGAGGAGGAGGCUCGUUGUAGUCAACCGGUGAGCCAGCGCCAAAGCAGGCAUCCGGCGGUUUGGCUGUGUGAACCAGAUGGUUUACAUUUGAAAAUGUUCUGUUUUCAAGGCUGGUUUGAGCUGGCUCUUCAAGCAGAACGUCCCAGCUGGUAGAAGAGUCAUCUGAACACACUGUAUGGGUUAUUCUUAAAUAUAAAAAAUUACUCCUCAA